rnacentral:misc_RNA from 1 species
UGAAGUGACCUGCAUUAGCAUAAUCAACAUGGCGGCUGCUGGGGAAAGUACUUGCCACAGCGAUCCGAACUUUGCAGUCAUAUGCUCUUUUUUAGAUAAAUAUGGUGAAUUAUUAGGAUUGCCUGAAAUAUCUUACGUCGAUUUGCAGGAGUAUCUCGAGGACACAAAAGCAGUAUCGAGGGCACUUAUUGACAUUCAUGUCCGUCUUUUGAAGAGGAUUGGAAAAACAAAUGUCAAUCAUGAAAGGUUUGAGAGAAGUGUUACAAAGUUUUGCUUUUACUUCUCUGAACGAGAUGGCUGGGAAGUGGAACGUUUUGGAUACAGACAUGCACAGUUAUCUACCAAACUUCGUAUUCUUAAGAACCUACUGGAAUGCCAGUUUGACUAUAAUGUCAAAUUUAAGGAAAAAGUCAAUGAACUUUGUCCAGAGGAAAUGCGUUUUCUUCCAGCAGGUCGUGACAAGGAUGGGAUGACAUACUGGUACUUACUGGACAAAGAUCUGAAUGUGUUUGUGUACAGAGAAGAACCUGAUGAUGAAAAUGCAGAAUCUUGGAAGCUAGUUUGCAGUGACCGACAUCAGCUGGCACAGUUGGUCGAUCGUCUGAAAAACAACACACAAAAGGCUUUAAAAGAGGAAGGGAAAGAUGACAGGUGCAGCAUCUUCACAGAUGAGUCAAAGUCUACUAGCAAAGAAGGUAGCCCAGCUGCAGAAGAAAAACUCGCAGACAUCAAACCAUUAAAAAUCAAACUAGGGGAUGUCAGUGUGCAGGCAUUCUCUGGAACUUGUGAGGUGCCAACAGUUAGUGAUGUCAAAUUGGAAAAUAAUCGAGAUACAGAGAAGAACAGUGAGAAUGUGAGAAAAGAAACUCCUAGAAGUAAUAAAGCAGGCAGUGAAAAUGACACCGUGAAAAGUGAGGUAAAAGUGAAACAGGAACGAUUAGAGGCUUAUCCCAUUUCAGAGACUACUGUUGUUGGCAAAAGUGCUAUUAAAAUAACCGAUGGUCAGAGUUGCUACAAAGACUCGAAAGUGAAAGAACAGAUAAAAAAAAGGAAGAAAAACAAAGACCAAGAAGCACAUUCAGCUGGUUCAAGCAAAACUAUCAAGAAAGUUGAAAAGGAGCAACCACAAGAAAAGCCACCAGCAGUCCAUGAGAAUGCAGCAAGUAACGAGACAAAAGGGUCAGAUGUUUAUGACAGAGAAAAGAAAAAUGUCAGCUUAGGAGAGAGCACUGAAGCAAGUAAAGAGUUAGCUGUGAAUGGGGAGGAAAAAUUAAAUGAUAAAACUGCAGAAAACAGGGCUUUUAAUAAUUUGGAGGAUUCAGAUAAAAGAGACAAAAAGUGUUGUGUGUUAAGCUCUAAUUCAGCUGAGAAUAACAUUGAACAAAUUGGUCCUCUUGAUCUUUCAGACUGUGAAGCAAGAAAUAGAACCCUGUUGCCAGUGACUGAAGGUAAGGAUGGGAAAGAUAAUUUUAAAGAGAUGACAUGUGGUUAUCAGGGUGAGAAAGAAGAAGAGAAAAUGUUGCUUUCUCAUGUUGAUGGGGAACGUGUGUGUGAAAUCCACGAGGAGGUUCAAGCAAUAACAGAAGUGCCAGUUGAAAAGGAAGUAGAUUCCAGAGUAAUCUCAACAGAUGUAAUAGACUUCGCCGAAAGGGCAAAAGACAUGGAUUGUUUGAUCAAAGUCACAGAUUCAAGCGAAGUAAAAGAAAAAGAAAAAUGUGUGCAGCAAGACUGCAGCAAUGACAGAACGCUCUCUCUUACUGAAUUUCAAAAUCAGACAUCUUGUGUACAGGAAGAGAACUCUGCUGCAGUGAAGGUGUCUCCACCACCAAUUGCACUGUCUGUUCUUCCACAGAAUAUUAAGAAAGAAGACGAAGAACAAUCAGUAUCAGAAGAAUCUCAAAAGGGUGAGGGCAAAGAAAAUGUUUUAGAAAAAAUAGAAGAGAAUGAUGAAGUACAAAAGUUAGAUACAUGUGAAUCUACUUUUGCCCAAGAGCAAGCAUAUGCUAGAGAUAGCAAGCAUCAGGAUCAAGAAAAACUGUUAAAGACAUUGGUGACAUCAGAAACAGUUUGUAAGGGGGAUGUUUCAGUAGAAGCUGUGUCCACAAAAUCAUCAAAAGCAGGACUACAAACCAUACUUGAAAAAUUGACCGAGUCGAAGCAGAUGGACAACAAUGAGCUGCAUGAAACCAAAAGUAUGGAUACUGCUGCAGCACUAGAUCAUAAGGCUGAGCCUAGUGUUCAAGCCACAGAUUUAGAUUCAAAAAAGGAAGGAAAAGUAACAGUUGAGAGUUGUGAAAACUUAGAUAAGUCUGAAGUGGUGAAGUUGGAAAAAUCAAAGCAUGAUAACAGCGGUGCCAGGCAAGAUAGCAAGGAUUAUACGAGGGGGGAAACUUCAGAAGGUGUCAUUUUAACACAAGCAGACACUACAGAGAAAGAAUCAGGAUUGGCUAUAAGUCACCCUACAGAACAUGUGGAUGAACCUUGCCAAAAGUUUAGUUCAGUGACAGGAGCCAAGCUGGAAGAGAAAUGUCAUUUGGUUUCAGAUGAGUUGGCUAAUUCUGGAACAAAAGCAAAGAAUGCUUCUGAAAAAGAGCCAGAGAUGCAGGCAGAUGCAGACUCUUCUGCCAAAAUUAGUACAGAAAAAUCCAUAGAGUCUCUUGAGCAGUUUGAUCUUGAUAAAUCUUUAGAAAAAGCAGCCAGUAGUGGGAAACCUGAUCUCAAAAUACCACAAAAUAUGAGAGAAGAACAAGAAUCGACUGGUGAUUUUGUAAACAUAGAACAGGUUAAUCAUGAAAAAUAUAUUUGUUUUGAAGAUUCUGAAAAGGCACUGCAAAUCAAAGGAGGUAAUCAGCUUGAAGCUACUUGUGUAUCUGAACAAACAGAGAGUGAGUGCCAAAAACUCCCUGAGCAUCAAGAAGGUAAAAGCAGUGAAAUGCAAAUCUCCCCAGAAGCAGCAGUAGUGGCAGUGGCAGAAUGCAUUUCUCAAAGAUCUGAUGCAAAUGACUCCAGCGAGGUUGUGGUCCCAAAAGUUGAAGAAAAGGAGUCUGUGGAAAGUACAAAGCAAAGUGUGGAGCAAGCUGCUGAAAAGCAGGUGAUGUCUGAAAGUGUGAGGGAACAAGGUGAAAUGAGUCGUUCAGAGGUCAGGCUCAACCAGAGUGAUGGGAAAAACAGUGAGUCAGUUCUUGGCAGAACUGCUGUAGAAAAAUCAGCAUCUGAAAUUAUGUCUAAAAGUGAGGACAGUGCUGUAUUAGAUGAAAAAAAGUGUUUUGGCAAAGACGAAGAGGUUGAUUAUUUGGAGAGUGCCAGAGUGGUACCAAGUGAUGCUGAAAAUGAAAAGCUGCAAUGGACUGAAGAGAAAGCAAUGGAUUUGAGCUGCAAGGCAGCAUGGGUAAAUAUUGAUGGAUUAGAGAAUCACGGCUCUGGAAAAUCAACUUUAGAGAUCGAUGAGAGAACGGAGGCAGGUAACAAAGCUGGAGAUGAAAGUGUCAAUAUGAGUAAAGAAGAAACGUCUUUUACGGGCGAACAAGUGACAGAAAAUAAGGUUGAGGCAAAAAAACAAGACAACAUUGUUAAUGUAGAUUUGGCUAGCAUAGAAACAGCAAACACAGACGACUACAGAGUUGCUAGCAGCAAAGUUUCAGGGGAAAGUCAAAUUGUCAAAGCAGAAUUAACUAGUACAGAUGAGCUCAACAAAACUAUCAGUGUGGUGUCAAGCAGUGAAGCAGCAACACAAAAUGAGGUUUACAAGACGGAAAAAAUUGCAAAACAUGCAUCGGACAAAGUUGAAGAAGGACAAAGUGGGGAAAUAGAUGGUUCCAAAAGCAAGGUCAAUGGUGGAAGAAAUUUGCAGGAGACUGAAAGCAAGCCUCAGAAGACAUGUGAGAUUAAAGGGAGAAAAGUUAAAAGAGCAAGAAAAAAACAAGGAGACAAAGGAAAUGAAAAAGUUGUCUCCGAUAAAGAUAGCGAUACUCUGAAUGCAAAAGUGGAAGGUGAACAGAAUCAUGUGGAUAACAAUCAAGUAAUGAAUGAUGCAGAAUCAGUCAAAUCUAAAAAGAAGUCAAGAAGACCGGGAAAGCAAGCAAAAAAGGUUGCUGAAAAAAAUGAUAUAGAAAAUAACAUCCAAGCUGGAGGCAGUGAAACAAAGGAAAACAGUAAACUGUUAGAAAAAGAUGAGAAGGUCGAAGGUGAGCAAGAAGAUGGAGUGAGUGUGGUUAUUUCUAAGAUAACAGAAGAUGCCAGGAACAAAGGAAUGGUGAAUGGACAUCAUGAAGCAACAGAAGAAGUGUUUGAAGAUAACAAAGACAAACCACCAUGCACACCUGCCCUAAAAGGCAGAAGUGUCAAGAGAGGUCGGGGAGGCAAAAAAGGUGGGGCCAAGGUGAGGAAGCGGAGUGCCCCUGAAGCUGCAAGCGAUGACACCAACUCAGAACCUGCAGAAAAGCAAGCCAAGCGUGGAGGAAUCAGGAGAGGAAAGGCUGCGGCCCGGGGCAGGUCCAAUCGAAAAACGACCAAAGCAAGUGAGAGCAGCAGUGACAGUGAUGUUCCACUUAGCCGUGUCAGGGGUAGCAAAGGUCGAGAGACCAGCAAAACUGCCAAGAGCUCUAAGAAGAAGAAGACUGCAUUAGCUCUAGAAGAUGGAUUUUCAUCUAGUUCAGAUGAUUCUCCACUUAGCAGAGCUUGCAAGAAAAAGAAGAUUGUUGGGGAAGAUAGCAGUGAUUUUGAACCAGAGGAACCAGUUGCUCCAAAAAAGAAAGAUCGAAAGACAUUAAAGAAAAAGACACCAGGAGCAGCCCACAAAGAGAUGGAAUCAGCUGAAGAGACCAUUAGUACUCGUCGUAGUCUGAGGUUGCAAAAUAUUAAAAAGAAAGAGCCAGAACCAGAGCCUGAAUUGAGCAGUGAAGAUCAGAGUGUAGAGGAUGAGUCAUCUGAAAUGUGCCUUUCUACUGAAGAAGACUCUGGAGAUGAAGACUUCUCACCUCAAGGCCGUAAUCGUCUUCGGCAAGCAGCAUUAAAGAGCAAAAAAAAAGAGGAAGAGGUGCCUGUAGACGACACUCCCUGUCUUAUCUGUGAGAAAUGCACACAUCCAGAUAUGAUGCUGCUAUGUGACAGCUGUGAUAAUGGCUAUCAUAUGGCCUGCUUACGUCCGCCACUAAUGGUCGUUCCAGAAGGAGACUGGUUCUGCCCACCAUGUGAACAUAAUAAGCUGAUAGAAAGGCUGUCAGAGUAUCUCCAUGUAUUGGAGACAUCAAGCAGGAAGAAAGAGAGAUUAGUUCGCAGAAGAGAGAGACUUGCUUUUGUGGGAAUAAGUUUGGAUAACAUUCUGAAAGAGGAGAAGAAACCAGUCAAGCAAGAAUACAUAUCAGAAGAAGAAGAGGAGGAGGAGGAAAAGUAUUCCUAUCAGCCAUCCAGGAAAGUGUCACAUAAUCCAGGAAACAAGCACAAGAGAUACAAAGUUCACAGUCGUGAUGAGAGCCCACUACCAGAGGAAGUCUAUGCUAAAAGAUCUUGUCGAACUCGCAGCAAUGUCAGUUACCAGUUCAAGGAGUUUGAUGAGCUCAUCAACCAAGCCAUAGAGGAAGAUAUCAAGCUGCCUAAGCCUCCAAGGCCUCCCAAGCCCCCAGGAAUCAGCAGAGGUAAAGACAUGUCCAACAUUCUAGGGAUGGACAGUGAUGAGGAGAAAGAGAUGCUGAGGAAACAAAAGGAGGAACAACUGGCUGCUGAGUUAGUGGAUGGGCGACCUCCCCCAAUCAUUAAGAAAAAGCCCAGACGGCGAUUAACUACUCUGGACAGUGAUGACAAUCAAGAAGAGGAGGAUGAGAGUGAGGAGUUCAAGUUGUCAGAGAGCGAUGAGGACUCUGAGGCCUCUGCAGAACCUUCACUAGAAGAGGAAGACUUGAGUGAUGAAUCAGGGGACUGGAAGCCACAGCGAACUUGGUACAACAAGGCUACACGCAAGAGCUCUCGCAAUAGGAACAGACAAAGCCAGUGGUCUCGUUACGAUGAUGAUUUUGUGGUGGAUGAUGAAUACGACAGUGAUGAAAGAGCCAACAAGCGUCGCUCAACACGGAAUUCUUCAAAGCGAAGGAUUCGCUACAAAGACUGGGAAUCAGAAACAGAAGAAAGCAUGGAAACUGAUGACACAGAAGCUAGCCUUUCGUCAGUGGAUUCAGAGGAUUCAGUUGUAAAAAGGAAAAGGAACAACAAGAAACCUAGGAAGAAGUUUUGUUCUGACAGUGAAAGCUCUGGCUCAGAGUACAUGGUUAGAAUUAGUCAGAAAAAGAAAAGGCGUGUCGAGUCUUCUGAAUCGGAGGAAGAUAAUAAGUCUAGAAAACCCACAAAAUCAGGGACAGCAGACUCUGUGAAGGCUUCUAAAGUACCCCCACCAGUUGCUGUUACAAGCCAGAAAUCUAAGUGUGGCCCAAGAAAACCGCAAUUUUCUGAUGAUGACAGUGAGACUGAAAUUGAGAAGGAUGAGGAGGAAGAGGAAGUUGUUCCCCGAAAGAGGAAAAAUGUUCUUAGGGAUUCAUCUUCUGAGGAAGAAAAAGGUGUGUGUGCUGAUAAUGGUGACAAUGAAGAGACAGAAAUAGAAGAGGAUGAAGGAAAGACAGUGGAGUCAUUUGCGAAGAAAGAGAGCCUAGAGCCUAAAGAGGAACAAACUGCAGUAGACCAAGAGAAGCCAACAGAGAAGAAGGAACAAAUUUCAGAGGAGAGUGUUACUGCAGACAAACUGGAGUCAUUUGAUAAAAGGCUGCCUGUGGUGAAGCUGAUAAAGGUUGUGACUGGGAUGCAAACAACACAUGUUGCAGAGAAAACUGAGCCAGAAGCCAAACCAGAAAAGACUUCUGCAGAGGAGAGUGAGCAGCAAGUACAGGACAGUGAAAAAGUUAGUAAAAAGGUCAGCAAGAGCAAAAGCAAAUCCAAAGGAAAGGGAACAGUUAAAACUAAAAAGUCGGAAGUGCAGGUGUUAGAGGAAGGUAGAGAAGAGGAUGGACAGAGCAAAUCAGCUGUUGUUGAGGCGCCUUCAGCAGAGAAGCCUGAAGCUGGAACUGGCACAGAUGCUGGUGGACCACUUUCAUCACAAGCCUCACAAACAGCCUCCACAACCAAAGGUGCAAUGCCUAAUUUUCUGAACGUUGACGAGGUCAAGGAAAGCCCACAGGCUGCCCUGGUUCAUCCCUCACCUCUUCCCUGUUUACCCGAAAGAAUGCCAGCUCCAGGAGAGGUUGGCUUCAGGUAUCCAGGUGGUGGUGAUUUCAGACAUCCUAUGGAAGGAGGUUUCCAGUCUCCUCCAUAUGAUCCCAGAUUCCAGACACCUGAAGGGCAGGAGUUACGGUCACGAGGGUUCCAAGGACCCUUUUGUCAUGGGCCAUACCCUCUUCUGGGAGAACAGUUCCGAGGGUCUGUGCCAGAAAAUUUCCAGCCCCCAGGAUCCAGUGAUUAUUUCCACCCACAGGGUAUGAAUUCAUUUGGUCCUCAUGGCCAGCCAGGUCAAGUGCCACGGCCUGAAGGAUUUAAACAAAUACCACAAAGACAAGAAAGGUUUCCAGCUUGUGGACCUGAGGGUUUCCGUCCGUCUCAUCCUGAAGGCUUCCACCCUGGAGGCCCAUAUCCUCCAUUCCAUGGAUCCCCACAACAUUUCUAUCCUUCUGCCAGCCAGCCUUUCCAAGGCCAUCCACCCACAGGGUAUGGAAUGUACCCUCAUCGUUUUCCUCCAGGCCUGGUUCAGGGUCCAUUUGGACCUGGGCCACAUCCAAAUACAAACAACUUUCACCCCAUGGGAACAGCGCUGUCUCAAGUGCCUGGGGUUCCCCCUGCAGGUCGCGGUGGUUUUAUGAUAGACAACCUUCUACGUAGCAGUAGCAGUGGCCAUUCGUUCACUGAGGAGAUUCCCCCACCUCCCCCUGCACAGGCCCAUAUGACCCCACCCCAGAUGACACCCCCUCAUGUGACUCCUCCCCAACAAGCUCUACAGCAGCCGCAGCCACCAUCACAGCAGCAGCAGCCGCCUCCACCACCACCGCCGCCGCCGCCACCGCCGCCACCGCCGCCAUCACGACCAUUAACUUCUCCCAGGUCCCCUGGCCACGAUGAUGAUGAUGAUAUGGGAGAUGUUUCUGACAUUGUGAGUUAUGUUAUGAAUGAUGAGUUCUUCAAACAGCAAACGAGCUCAUAGCACAUAACCAACAAAGUGCAAGUCAGUAAAAGAAGCUUCUGCUCUCACCUUUGUAUACUUGUUUGUAGAUUAUUGUUUACAUUCAGCUAUAACGAAGUGUGCUGUAGAUUUAUGUCUUUUACAGGAAAAGAAGAAAAUGUUUCAGGGGACAUUUUAUCUGUGCAUAUAUCAUUCAUAUAAAAAAAGAAAAUAAUGAGGCAAGGUUGAUGUAUCUAUACAAUUUAUAUGAAAGCAUGAUAUCAGUAUGUCUUUAAAACCAUGAACAUUAAUUCUGCAUUUUUUUCUGCAGACCAUUUGAGUUUUAUCUUCGGUGUUCUGCGUUUAGUGUUGUUGAUCUAAUUCAUUGAGAGAUUCAGUCCGACGGUAGUAAAUGAGGCACAGACUCAGUUGACUGGAAGACCAGCUGCAAGAUUAAUAUGGGGAAAAAGACCAGCAUCAGUAGCACAAACAGAAAAGGCAAAGGUUAAAAGAUUCAUUGAACAUGAAAAUAGCAUCAACAGAAUGGUGCACGCUGAAGCAUGUCGCAAAUAAGAAAUGUUAUUUUGAAGCAUGGCUCUGUAGUUAAAAUUCCAACUAUUACAAUGUGACCACAUUUAUUUUUUAUAUUUGCUCCCCAAAUCAAUGUUUGCCGAGAAUCAAAGGAAACACCCAUUAUUGUUUUUAUUUGUUUGUUUGUAGGAUGUACUGGUGAAGAGUGACGACUAAAAGGAGACAAAAAUGUGUGCUUAUUGUACACAACAUUGAAAUUUUUUACCUAUCCAUGUUACGAUUCAUUAUUCUGUUUGCUGAUUAUAUGAAAAAAUGAAAUGCAUUUUAUACAGAAUAUUUGCAAAGUUGAAUUCAUGUGGAUGGCAGUGAUUUAACUGAGUUGUGAAUUAGCUUGCUUAUUUACAUCAUUAAAACAUAAUGAAAUAUUUUGCAUACUGAUUUAAGGAUAUUUUGCAUACUGAUUUAAAGACUUACUAUUGAAGAAAACAAUUUAUGUUAUCACUCAAACAUAAAACUGUUAUAGAAUCUGUGUAUAGCUAGUCUUCUCUGCUUAAUUUUGAAGUGAAAUGUGGGUAUCUUAUGUCUUGCGAUGAUAAUGUUUUUAGUCUUAAUACUGUUGCAAAUGAUCACAGUGUAUUGCUUAUAUCAGUCCAACUAUUUUGAUACGCAAUAAAGAUAUUCUUACAAAGACUGUUAAAGGCAGUCUUUUUCAGCCUGUAUUUCAUGAGGACCUUAGAAAGCAUGAUGGGGAAAAACCUUGCAUUUAAUUUGUCGAAUGAGAUUGGGGAAAAUACUGUGAGUUUUAAAUAAAUCAGUUUUGAUACAGGUAUUCCACAAGACCAGAAGAUUGUUUUGCAGGAUAAAGAAGUUGAGAAAAUCUAUUUAGAUAGAUGUAGAAGGAAAUAUAAUCCCAUUCAUUAAUAUGAAUAAACGUAGUGGAAGGGGAAGUGGGCCUGUAUGACAGAUUAUAUAAGAUACCCUGUAUAACAAAGGUUUCAGAAUGUUUAUUUUUAAACUGAUGUACAUAGAGGUAUUUUUGGUUGUUGUAAAUUACUGUCUUUUUCAACGAAAAAUUAAAAUGGGAGUAUUUUUAAAAAUAGUCAGAAUUCAGUGUAAUUUAUUAACUACUACAAGGGCAUUUGUUAGACUUUUUUUAUAGGUAGUUAUACCUGUAAAAAUCUUUAUAUAAAGGAGCAACUUUCAAUCAUUGUCUUGGAUGUGACUGCUUUGUGUUAUUUUUCAGCAGAAGGUUGUGUGUUUCUUUUCUUCAAAAGAGGAAAGAAACUUAUUCUUUUGCCAGUUAUCAGAAUGUUUGAGCAUUGAUUCGCCCUGAAAGCACAGCUACAUUUGUGUAUUUCAGCUUUUCUUUAUCAAUUUUUUGCUUAACAUUGGGCUUGUAGUUUUCAAUUUUUUAAGUAGCUCCCAUGUUUCAAUUUUUGAAGAAGCUGUUACAGGUCUUCUGAUAACUUGUGCCACCAUAAAAUGUGGACUAGCAUUGAGUGCAGGGAAGAAACUGUAGACCAGUUAUCUUCAUGGAUUGAAGACAACAAAACUAUAAAUUGGAAGAUGACUAUAAGAAACAGCCCAAAACAUAUACAUGAAAUAACAACAAAAAUAUUUAUAAUGAAAACUGUGUGCAUGUAGUAUCAUGUUAAUUUAUUGAAUAUAUGUAAAAAUUACUUUUAGCUGAACCUUAAGAAGUGCAUCAUUACCUCAUAUAUCUUAUUAUUGCUUUUAAUGUUUUGAAAUGUGUAUUUACUGUUGGGAUGCCUGAAGAUUUUAAGAGUUUUGAUGAUAAGGACUGAUCAGAACAACAGGCAUUUCAUUGUUAAAUGGAGCAAAAUGAUCUGAACUGAUAAGCACACACCAUAAUGUAGGUGUUUGUGUCAGCAGUUGUGUAUGUAUGUGCAUGCAUGUGGAUGUGUGUUUUCACACAUGUGCAGUCUUUUUGUUUGUUUUGAAGAGAAAGAUCAUGAAUGCAGAUACUUGAGAACAGAGUGUAUUGAGGUUGCAAGUGGUGAGAAUACUGUGAGAAAGGCAGCUAACAAAGGAAUUACUGUACCAUGCAAUCAGAUGUUAACGAUUUUUUUUUAUUUGUAUUUUUUGUGCUGAGCUAAAGGUCUGCUGGUUAGAAAGUGGUGUGCACAGGUCAUUACCUGCGCUUUCAGAAUGUGACACAAAAGGGACACUUGUUACAGAUAAAACAUGUAUAGGAUCUAAUUUUCUGCCAUCAGAACUGCAAGUUAAAUCCAUUGUUCAUUGUCAGUAUGUAUGUUUAUAUGGUCCUGAAGUUACUUUUACAAGGUCAUUUUAUGUUGUUUUGCUCAUAGUUUGUGACUUUGUUUUGAAUUUAUUAUACACAGUAUUUCAUUUGUCUCUGCAUUUUUAAUGAAGGCUGUUAGAGGUUUUGGCAGGUAGCAGUUCACUGAAAAACUGAAAUAAAUCAUUGGUAGGCCUUGGCUUUAACGAAAACAUAGCAUUUCACCUUCUGUAAAACAUUCAUCCUGUAGCUUCAUUAAAAAAAAAAAAAAUGAGUCAUCAGUUUUUAGACAUUCAGUGUUUACUAAUGUGCAUUUGACUCACCAGAUGAUUUUAGAAACAGUUGUGUUACACGUUAUGAAAGAAAGUUAAGUGCUUGCUCACAUAUUUUGGAAAUAGUUGUGUGCUUUAGGCAACUGUUUCCUGUGCCUUAUGUUGACAUAGUCUUUUCUUUUGAUUCGCGGAAUUGUGGACUGUGUAUAUAAAUCUUAUGAUGUAUACAUUCAUUUUGCUUAGACAUAAUGGGUACAUCACCUGGAUGAAGAUAAGCAGUAUGGACUGCACAAGUAAGACUGGUACAUGAAUUCUUUUUUUUUUAAUUUUGCCGUAGUCUUUUUCAUUAACUACUUUGAUCAAAGAACACAACUUUGUAGCAUAGAUGUAUACAUACAUUUUGCAUAAACACUAGGGAAAGCAGAUUGGUUUGAUGUUAUAUGUCCCUCAGACUCAGUUUGAUGUUUCUUUGUGAAAUGUUGCUGGCUGCUGCACAGCAACACUCCAUUAUCAAGAUGAAAAUAUAUUUUAAAAGAUCCUUUAAUACCCUGGCUGCAGUUAUUGAUUAUAGUUGUCAUGCUACCUUGUGUGACUGCCCAUUAAUUCAGUGCUGAUCAGAAUUACAUGGUAAAUACCCCAGGUGUAAUAUGUUAAAGGUAUUUAAUUUUUAUGACCCAAACAUUUGUCCUUUGGGUAACCACAAAGUACUUAAAAUAUUAUGUUUAAUCUUUUAAAAUAUCUUAGAAACUUUAUAGAAAUUAGAAAAUAAAGAUGAUGGGUCAGUUAUUGUUCAGUGCCAUAGCUGAUUUUAAAUCCAGUUUUAAAACUUAAUCUUACAUUUGAUGUGGACUUAACAGCUUUGCUAGUUUAUGGUUGAAGGAGUAAAGUACAAUAAAAGACUUUUGAAUUUUUUUAUGGCAGGGUGAAAGGUAAAGAAGCAGAGAGAGAUAUCAAACUCAUGCUGUUCAUGACCACCAUCAAGUCUCACCAAAACAUAGCUCUUUAGACUGACUUAUUGCUGCAGGCAGUGGGUGUCAGUCAUAGGAUUGCAUUUUUGAUCUGCAUAUACACAGGCUGUCCCAGAUUUAAUGUUUUAAUGAAAUUGGUUAAAGCUUUUGAGUCAACUUUUUACAUAUUGUAAUCUUUUUAAUUUAAUGGAAAUUUGAGUUGGGGCUAGGCAUGUGUGCCUUUUGGACAUGCUGCAUCCAUGACUAAAGUAUGAUUCCUCAAAGCAGCAUGUUCCCUGUCAUCAUGCCAAUCCCUUCUAAAAUUACAGACUCAGGGCAGGAUCAUAAAACAAAAUUUAAAAAUUCUAUUUUAUGAUCAUAAAAAAUGCUCAUCUGAAUUGGGUUUGCUUUGUGUGAGACACAUCAUAUGAAUACAUGUUAGCAUGCAGGCACAUCUACUAAAUUUAUUCAAGUGAAUCCAGCACAGAUGAAGUCAUCAUCAGUCAUUUUCUGCAGAUUUUUUUUCUUCCUUUUUUUUUUUUUUUUUGUUGCCCAAACCAGUCAUUAUAAUUUUGCAUCUGUUUUUUUAAAAAAAGGAAAAACUGGGCUGAGCCCCUUGUUUUUCAAACGGUCCAUGUGAGUACAAUCACUAAGCAUAGAGAUAGAGCUGUCACUUCUCAUCCCAGCAGUAGAACUGCUACUGAGUAUAAGAUGUUAAUUAAAUAAUCAUAUUUCAAAUUAUUUUUUAUAUUACACCUGUUUUAAUAUUUUUUCCUUUGAGUAAAAUUGGCUGUAGUCUGCUUACUGUUAUUUCUAAGAUCUUGUUUUUUCAAGAAAUUUCCCAUUUAAGAGAAAAGGCAGCUAUUUUUAUUAUUCACUUUUAUCACAGUGAAGUUUUUGUCAGUGGAUAAUCCCAAUCUCUGUAUAGUUUGUUUGCUUCCAUAUACAUAUAUAUAUUUUGUACAUAACCACAAUUAACAAAAUACUUAGGUCAGCUCUAUUCUGCAUCCUUACAUCAGAUGCUAAAAGCAGACAGAAGUGCGAUUUAUGAAUUCAGCAAUAUCAAUGAAAGCUGCAAGAGACUUUUCUGGGACUUUGGCAUGUGCUUCAGUAUCCAGAGUUUUGUUUCUCUAUAGUCUCUUUCAAGCUAUUGCAUGAGCUGGAAUUUUAAUGAUUUAUUUUAUUACCAAAUUUUAAAAAAAUAGUUGCAUCUUCUUUUUCAGCAUCUGGUUGGCCUGUGUGCAGAUGGUCUGACUGACCAUUGGACCAAUGGAAGAUUUAUUGUACAACUGACUGGGUUCAGCACAUUGUUUGGUAUUUUGUAACGACAGAAGACAUUGUUCCUGCAUGUCUUUCUUGGAGGUACCAGAUAAUGACUCGUCAGAUGAUGGUUUUGUAAUGACACGGGCAUAAAAGGUAAUUAAAUACAUCAUGAGCUCAAAAUGGAGUCUAUUUGAAAAAUACAUUUGUGCAUGGUAACCCUCACAGAAGAAGAGACCUGUAAAUAUGUAUCCAGUGAAACUUGUACAGAUUUUCUGCUAAAAGUCAACAUGUACAUUUAAGAACAUGAUUUUGUUUUAAGAUUUUCAGAACGUUUUCAUUACUCGUGUAUGCCGAGUGUUUUACCACACAUGUUGAAAUAUACAAGCAUGUAAAUGUAAGUUGUGUCAUCUUGUUUAUUCAUAUUUCCUAAGUAAAGACAAUUCAGACCUA